GGGGCUGUAGCUCAGUUGGGAGAGCGCUUGACUGGCAGUCAAGAGGUCGUGGGUUCGACUCCCAUCAGCUCCACCA
rnacentral:tRNA from 1 species